rnacentral:rRNA from 1 species
UACGGAGGGAGCUAGCGUUGUUCGGAAUUACUGGGCGUAAAGCGCACGUAGGCGGCUUUGUAAGUUAGAGGUGAAAGCCCGGAGCUCAACUCCGGAACUGCCUUUAAGACUGCAUCGCUUGAAUCCAGGAGAGGUGAGUGGAAUUCCGAGUGUAGAGGUGAAAUUCGUAGAUAUUCGGAAGAACACCAGUGGCGAAGGCGGCUCACUGGAGCUGGUAUUGACGCUGAGGUGCGAAAGCGUGGGGAGCAAACAGG